rnacentral:lncRNA from 1 species
UAGUCAUUUCUUGUUUUAUUAGGAAGAAUCCAUGAACUGCUGUAGAAAGAGGAGUCUGCAGCUUACUCUUCCCAUGGCAGGUGCUCAACAGAACAGGAGGAUACAUUUGGACAGACCAUGGAGCCUCCAUUUCUUUUGGCCCAGCCUGAGGCUCAGCUGAAAUAAAGCUUUCCUCUGGCUCUUGGAAAAGAUGAACUGAAUUUCCUCUUCUUGUGCUUCCUCCACAGGGAGGUGACUAUGGCUGUGGGUGCUGGCUCAGACUGGGCGAGUGAAUAUUCUCCUGUUGAAGUGUUUGGAAGAACAGGCCUGGAGCAGGGGGAAGCCAAUGGAUUCUGGGGUGCUCAUUCAGUGGGGCACUGCUCUGACCACUCCAAGCCUUCACCCGUUGCUUUUGAAAUGAGAAUUGUUUUAAAAAAUGGAAGAGAGAAGUUGAGAGGAAAACAUUUCAUCUACUUUUAUUUCUGCACUAGGGGUAAAUAUCCUUUCAUGUAUGUCGUUUUCUAGGAUGAUAUGUAUAAGGAUUGUCGGUUUGGCCCAGCCCUGCUCAACAUUGACAAACAGGCCGAGACUAGAGGAA